AUUACAAUCCAACAGUCGGAGAUUCUCGAGGCAGAAUUGCCCAAAGAAGCGGCUGAUUUCAGAUGUACUUUCUCAUAGCAGUAUGCAGCCUUUGCUGUGUCUUUUUGUCCCUUCAAGGUCGCGGUGUGAGGUGGUGGGAGAGUUUCAGGGACAUGUGCUGGCACUUCUGACCCACAUGGCCAGGAUCCGUGGCUUUUAUAUUCCUAACAAUAGCGGAAUUAGACACUUGGCUGCAUUGCCACUAUGGGAUUCCCAGGGAGGUUAUUUUUCCAUCGGUCCCUACAAUGGAGAAGAGCACGUUUGAAAGCCACCAAGAAGUGACAGACGUGGUGACUGGCUGAAACUCUUACCCUUUUGGAUGGCGAGUCCCCAGGGCUUCCAGCUACCGUAUUCUGGAAGCGGAUUUUGAGGCAGCCUGGCGCUGCCCUGCAUGGCCUGAAGGUGCCGUAUGUUUUCCUGCGAGACUCGACGUCGCUCUCUGAAUGCUGAUGCUUCACACAGUCACCAAGGGGGGAAU